AUUGAACGCUGGCGGCAGGCCUAACACAUGCAAGUCGAACGGCAGCACAGAAGAGCUUGCUCUUUGGGUGGCGAGUGGCGGACGGGUGAGUAAUGUCUGGGAAACUGCCCGAUGGAGGGGGAUAACUACUGGAAACGGUAGCUAAUACCGCAUAACGUCGCAAGACCAAAGUGGGGGACCUUCGGGCCUCACACCAUCGGAUGUGCCCAGAUGGGAUUAGCUAGUAGGUGGGGUAAUGGCUCACCUAGGCGACGAUCCCUAGCUGGUCUGAGAGGAUGACCAGCCACACUGGAACUGAGACACGGUCCAGACUCCUACGGGAGGCAGCAGUGGGGAAUAUUGCACAAUGGGCGCAAGCCUGAUGCAGCCAUGCCGCGUGUAUGAAGAAGGCCUUCGGGUUGUAAAGUACUUUCAGCGGGGAGGAAGGCGGUGAGGUUAAUAACCUUGCCGAUUGACGUUACCCGCAGAAGAAGCACCGGCUAACUCCGUGCCAGCAGCCGCAGUAAGAC
rnacentral:rRNA from 1 species